AUUAUCAAAGUUCAUAUUGAGUCACUAUAUUCGCAUCACAGCUUCUUUCAUAAACUUGUAUAACCACAAGAUUUUUUAUACACUCUUCAUGCACUGUCCACAAUUCAUACUAUUAUCAAGAUUUACUUUUUCAGCCUCAAGUGGCUAAAACCCUCAUUAACUUUAUUUCAGCUUUAAACUCUUAGCAAGUUUUACCGCACGACCCCAAACGACCCAAGCUCUUAUCGACAUCGAUAAAACCACGUCCUCAGGCCACCACUGGCCCGCGAGUUAGAUUCCUGAUCAGUUUCUAUCUCGCCAAACAUCUCGAGGAAGAGCAAUAUAAAUUGCUGUUUGUUGCCAUGCAUGCUGUUACUGGUUCUUAUGCGAGACCAAAUUUUGUCGAUUAUCUUCUUGAAAUUUGAAGGCUGGUCAAUGUACCUGCACCUCGAGGUCGCCUCCUUAGAUUUUGGGAAGCGGUGGCAAGCUCAAGGGUAUGGACAAGCUAAGCUGACGCUCAUGCAAGCCACCACGUCUGAAUACCUACAACAUCUUUCCAAAGCGGGUUCAAUGUACUCUGACACGGGAUUUGAAGUUACUCGGAGCAAUCUUAACUUCAAUUUAUAUUCAGUAUUGAAGUUUUAAAGCACCAACGGGAAAAGGAAACAACAGAGUUUGGAUGGUCUGAUCAAAGAAAUCUGUAGAAUUCUUUGGUGAGUUUGUGUGAAUGGUCAAGACGAAAGAAGAAGUUGUAGCAGGAACCAUGCAUCAUCUGUCCCUGGAGAUCAUUGAGGCUGGGAAGGAGCUUUACGAAGAAAAAUUGUGGGUGAAGCCAUGGUUGAACUUCAACGAGUUGCAGGAACUCAAGCUUGCCAUUGAUGAUGCCCCCACCAUUACACCCUCUGAUCAUGGCUGAAAAAGAUAACAAUGCAUCUGGAUGGAGGGAAGUUUCAAGAGAUGGUUAAGAAGUGCAACAUGUUUCCUGAUCAUGCCGUUUAUUUUUUUCUCAGUAAACGUUUAUUUUCUUUUUGCCAAGGUUUCACAAAAAAAGGAUUUAUGUAAACCUAAACCUUUCAUCCUAAUGAUAUUUACAGUGUAGCAAAAAAAAAUUAAUCAUCCUCUUUAGAUAUAGAUUCUUAAACUUGCUUAUUAACUUAAUGUACCAUAUAUUUUCGUUUCA